ACUCGCUGGGGUUGGGGUCUUGGAAGGGCUGAUGUCUUUCCUGUGUGGGCGGGUCUUCUGGAUGCCUGGAGUGGCCCCCGGAAGAUCAAGAGGAUGGGUGUUGGACAGGUGGUCUCCGCCGGAGACCCAAUCUCACCUGAAGCUGGACUCACUGGGGUUGGGGUCUUGGAAGGGCUGAUCUCAGUCCUCCUUUUUAUAACCCUCUAGUUCUAGCCUCUGACUGUCAAGAUACAGUGGGUAGCUGUCUGUGUGGAAGGCAUUCCACAUCAACCAUGCUUACCGUAUUGAUUCCAAGCCAGAGUCCAGUGUUCUAAGGGCAGCCUGUGCUUUCUUUCUCACUGCAUGGAGAUCCCUCCCAUGGAAGUCCACAGGCUUUUGGUUACUCUGUAUCCUCCCACUCAUAGUUCCUCUGUUCCCUUGUCUGUAUCUGAGGUCUGGAGCUGACAUCUCUAUUCUGUUCUAAACUGUAUCCUCACAACGUGGCAUACUUUUGCAGUGAGUGCAGUACUCUUCGUGGUGGCUAACAUGUCGGAGUGCUCACUGGUUAAAGUUCACCCAGUCUGUGUUUCUCUCAGGCUGGUGCUGUUGCUUCCAUCUCCAUGGAGUAAGGCUUAGAGAGGUUCCAGGAAAUCUAGUUAAAAGAGUGACAAGUGGCAGAGGCAGAAUUUGAACCUAGCUUUCUUAUCCCGAUCUCUCAAUCUCAGUAAACUUCCAACUUGGGCAGGCUGCAGCCCCGAGGCGGAUCUAUGGGACUGAAGAACUCAGGAGGCGUUGUCUUUUCUCUUCUCUACAGCAGCAGCCUCCCGCUCUCUCUCCCUCUACUCCCUUGCUCUUGUAAGGGCUGCCUACAGACACUGGCAGCAUCAUUUAAGAUGGACAGAUGGGCAUUGUCUUUCCCGGGGUCACCUCAGAUGCAUGCAACCCCGCGUUCCGUAUAAACCUUUCCAUUUGCUCUUCAUUGCUCCUCUACAGGCUUUCUUUGUGGCUGUUGACAGCAGCAGGGAAGACUGGGAAUGGGAGGCUGCUGUUUAAUGAGGUAGAGUUUCAGUUUGUAAGAUAAGGUUCAAAAGAGACAGUUGGGCUGAACUGUACAGAUAAAAAUGAUUAAGACAGGAAAUUUCAUGCUGUGUGUUUUUGUAUUUUUAACUACAGAUACAAAAUUAAAUUAAAAUUAAUUAAAGUCAAUUUAAAACCUAAGCCACAGUCAUUCAAGACUGUUCUCUGCAUUUUUUUCUGUUUGCAAAUGUGUGAGGUUAUUGCAAACAAUCACUUUUUCCAAUGGGCAUACCCAUGUUGAAAAAUUCAGUUUUAGGGUGAAUCCUAUAAUCCUAAUCCCUCUUUGGCAUUAUUACCUCAAAGUGCCUAGCAAUAACAUACAUGUUAAUAAUGUGUUCUUCUGUGUUGAAAUCCUUGUAGCAGCAUAUGUUUUGAAGUGGAAGUUAUUGGGGCUCUGACAUGACUAUCCAAAGUAUGGGGCUUUGGCAUGUGCAGUGGUAUGAAAGGUGGGAGAUCAGGAGGGCGUAGCAGCGGGGGCUAUAGCUCUUGCUUUGACCCUCUUCUGUUAGUCUGCUUUUACCUCUAAGCAGAUUGUAGGAAUCAGACUUUCUCUUUCUGUAGACCAGUCACGGAAACCAGAACCCCUUGCCUCUGAAAUAAGAUGGAAAAAUCAGAACAGCCUAUGAUUCCAUCUUCUCUCUAGAAGGCCUUUAGGUGUCCAGUACCUGUGGGAAGGGCCACAGUAGGAAGACACCAUCAGAACAAAGGUGCCUAUCUGAGUACCCAUUCUUACCAUCAGCUCACCUCCAUUUUCCUGCGGUGAAGUUUCCCUACACACUAACUACUGUUUUCUACCAGACUUAGCACCAUCAGUUACAGUUUCUCUGCAUGUUUGAGUCCUCAUUUCUGAAGGCCUUCAUGCCAUCCAACUAUUAAAUAAAUAUGAUUCCUGUUCAUCUGUCUUUUGUCACAGAAUUGUCUACCUGACCUGGUACUAAGUGAGGAAAGCUGUUAUCCUCCACUAAGUUCCAGAGGGGAACGGCAUUGAUUGGCUUGACUCUUCAACAGGCCUGCAUACACACGUGCUUCAUAGGCGCUGUGAAAAGACUCUCUCAAUGCUUCAGAGGAAGGACGGAUUCUUCUCUUGGCCCCGAACUGUCUUUCCUGUUGUCAACUGCUGUCAUCUGGUGGCAAAUUUGAGAAAUAGCAGAAGCCACCAGUACAGACAGUAAUUUGCUCCUGUUAUGCCUCCAGCAUAUGAUCACUAGGAGACUCUUGACGAAGCUGGAAUUUAUUAGUACAUAUCAUCUUCUCUGUCUUCAGGUUAUAAUACUGAUAGCUAGUAUUUAGUGAACAUGCACUGAUGACCAGGGUCAUUGUAAGUGCUUUGCAUGGACCAUCUUAUUUAAUAUUUAUGAGUUCUCUGCUGGCUAGUUUUAUGUCAGCUUGACACAAGCGAUAGUCAUCUGAGAAGAGGGAACCUUAAUUGAGAAAAUGCUUCCACAAGAUCAGACUGUAAGCAGACAAGCCUGAAGGGCAUUUUCUUAAUUAGUGAUUGGUGGGGGGGAAGUAGCCUAUUGUAGGUGGGGCUACCCCUGGGCUGGUGGUCCUGGGUUUUAUGCUAAAGUAGACUGAGCAGGUGGUGGUGGUUUGAAUGAGAAUGGCCCUCACAGGGUAACCUACUUGAAUGCUUGCUCAGCAGGAGCGGAACUGUUUGAAGGGAUUAGAAGGAUUAGGAGGUAUGGCCUUGUCAGAGGAGGUGUGGCCUUGCCACAGGAAGUGUGUUAUUGGGGGUGUGCUUUGAGGUUUCUAAAGACUGGGCCAGGCUUUUGAUCUCUCUAUCUACUGCCUGAGGAUCAGGACACAAAGUCCUCAACUACUCCAACAAUAUGCCUGUCUGCAUGUCACCAUGCCCCCUGCUGGGAUGAUAGUGAACUAAGCCUCUGAAACUGUAAGUCAGCCCUGAGUUAAAUGCUUUCUUUUUAUAAAAAUUUCCUGGGUCAAGGUGUCUUUUCACAGCAGAAGAACACUAAGACAUAAACCCAGAGGAGCAAGCCAGUAACCAGCAUCCUCCAAGGUCUCUAUUCCUAUGUGGAAUUUUGAAAAAAUUGUUCCUAUGGUGUUCCUAAAACAUGUAUUUCAAAUACACUGAAAGGAGGGUAGAUAUCUUUGACAAUGAAAAGCCAUUGCUUUUAUAUUUGGAAUAAAGGUUUAAAUUUAAAGUAAUACUUCUUUUGUAAGACUUUUAAAACUUUUCUCUCUUCCAUCUCUAAUUUCUCUGUGGCUAGUCUAACAGAGACGACAAAGAAAGAAAAUCCUACAUAAUUUAUUUCAAAAUUCACAGUCACACAUUUUUCCUACCAAAAGUACAUUGAUAACUUUAGACAUUGUUGUGCCCAAAUUCUGAAACCCCAAAAUCACCCAGGCUCAAUUUGAUGCAAAAGUAGCGUCUUUUAUUGUAGUUGUUUAACAAGCUAACCCCAUUAACUCGGACCCUUUAUCCAUUUAUUGCAGUGGAUGGAUGUAGAAAGACCACCAAGAAACCACAAGGCUGGGAAUAUAUCAGGGCUGGAAACAUUUCCACUGUGUAUACAAAUGCACCACAUUUCCCUGCCUCCCUGUUGUUGGAUAGCUGGGUUGGCUCCAUCACUCAGCAGUUGUGAAUAGGGCUGUGAUGAACACUGGAGAAAACCAACUCCAAAGGCACAGAGACCGGAAUUUAAGACUGGAAACUCUGAAACUGUUGGAGAGAGAAGACACCAUAUCAUGGUACACGUCUGGGAAGGACUUUCUGGAUAGGACUGUUGCUUGGGAAGUAAGGUCAACAACUGAUCUUAUGAAAGUUAACAUUUGCUCUUCAGGAGCAAAGGACCCAAUUGAAUGAGUGACAGGACUGUGGAGAAGCUUUGCAAGCUCUACAUUCGAUGGAUUAAGAGUCACUGUAACGAGACUACAGCUGUAUUUCAAUCAGAAUGCAAGAGAGAGGUGUGGCUCAAUUUCAAAAACCAUUUCCAGUGAUCUGCCCACAUGACUUCCGCUGUGUUCUUUGGAGGUGAAGAGAGAAAGCUGGAGUUUUAGGACACAGGAUUCGGAGGUGGUAUUGUCAGUGUCUCGGGGUCUCUAUUUGGUUUGUUUUCUCUGCUAAGAAUGAAAAGGCAGGGCAGGUAGCAAGCAGAGAAAUUGCAGACACAGCCGACAGAAGCAGACCGGCUUGGCAGCUGAAGAAAGGCUUUCGUCAGGGGAGACGAAGCACACACAGCAGACUAAGGAAGCCAGCCUUUCCUUGAGGGUGGAGUCUUUCUAAGUCUCUGAAGGGUCUUCCUCUCCUGAUUUAGGGUUGGUCAGUUUGAAGACUGUCAGGGUGGCUGCUUGGCCCACAGCUGUUGUGUGACCGUGUCCUGAUCUGGCCUUGGACUUGCUGAGCACAGCAGUCCAUCAGCAGGCGGCCUACUGACAGAAAAAAAAAAGCCCACAAGACCUUCAUUGUAAUCUGCCAGGCUGUUGUUUCGGAUCAGAAGAUGAGAGAGAAGCUGGCCAUCCUGGAAGUUUACUGAAGGACUCCCUAACAGGCCAAAGCAUUGCUAAUAGGGCACCAACAGGUUUCCCUUGCCCACUCUCCUCCCUCCCCCCUCUCUAAACUUUUAGAUUGCAUUCCUGAAACUAGCCACCAAGGUCUUAUUCCCUUAUUUGGCUGCUUAUGCCUGGCUAAACCGCCAAGGUCCAGCAACCAAAAGUCAUUAUUUGGCUACAAUGACUAUCAUGUCCAAUCAGGACUUACCAACUCACCCUAGGACAAACUACUUCCCUUUUUCUCCUUAAUAAAACAGCCCUGCAGAAACACCUGCAGCUCUCAUUGCCUUAUCCAGAGUCAGCCACCCCUCCCUUCUCCCCCACCCCCAAGGUAACAAACCUCCUUUGUGCUGAGAAUUUGGUGUCUGGUAUGUUCUGUGCUGACUCUGAGGCUGGUUCAUUUACCAUCUUCAUUACCUAGCCAUUGCUCCCCUCACUGUCUGUCUGCCUAGGGGGGAAUGUGUCUAACUGCUAGUCCCUCAGUACUGUAAACAUGAUUAAGAAGCUCAUGGUUUUGGAGGUCACAGGUCCUGGGUGGGGGUCAGGGUACCUAGUAUUGCUGUUGUGUUGACUGGAUCUCUUUGCAAACUUCUUGCUAAGUGUUUAUGUUUGUACCCAUAGGUCAAUGCUGUUCUCAGCUGUGACCAGAGAAGGGUCUGUAGUGAGUGAUUAGCAGUUAAUGAAGUGACCCCCUAAGAAAACAAGUGUUCCUGGCAUUUCAGUUGAAAGCUCUGAUCAUACAAAGGCCUCUUACUGGAUAUCUAAGAGGAGAGAGCUGCAGAUUAUUUUGGGGUGGAUAAAAUUCAGUUACUGUAAGUGUUUCUCAGAGGAAACUUUGGAGGAAAUGGGUAACAUUAGUGAGGAAGAGGAAUGUUCUCAGAGGCAAGAUUCUCUUGAGAGCAUGUGUGGAGUCUCUUUCCUUAGAACAGGAGAUGGUCCGGGUAGGGUCCAUUCUGGAUCUUGGAUGGAAUGGACUUUACAGUGGCCUCAUCCAUCUUCGUUCAGAUUCUACCCUUACAGAGACACAGGAGAAUUGCUCUGGGGGAAGUCAGUGCCAAAUCUUAGCCCUGCCUGAGAGAGAUCUCUAGCUUGAGGGAAGGUCGUGUGUAGGACACCUGCAGAUCUGUCCGGUUGUCUCCAAACUGCAUUUUCAGUGAGGACCUGUACUUGCCUUAAGUAUUUUUUAAUUGGUUUGGAAUGUGGAGGGCGCUCAACAAUGGAAAUCAUAAAUGUUAAAAAUUUAAACCUGUAUUUGUGUAGCUUGAGAAAAAUAAAAUGCAUCUACAAAAAUCUCAAGUCCAGCAUGGAGGCUCAUUCCUCUAAUCCAGUGCUUGGGAAGUGUAGGUAGGAGGAUCAGGAAUUUAUUGUCAGUUACAGAAAGUUUAAGGCUAGACUGGGCUACCUGAGUCCAUGCCUCAGAGAAACAUAAAGAAAAAAGGAAGGGAAAAUCUUAAAGCCAGGUGUGGGAUUUAUGCCUAUAAUCUUGGUGCUUCGAAGGGCUGAGGUAGAAACACAGAAUUUAAGGCUGGCUUGGACUACAUAGCACAUCCUUUUCUCAAACAAACUCAAAACAGUAUUACUUUAAUUACAAGUAGUAUAGGUAAAUUGGGCAAAAGUGAGAAAACCCACAAAGCCUUCCCUCAAACAUUCACUCUUUAGAAAUAUUUACUGUUCUUUGCCUUACAGAAGCUUCUCAGUUUCAGUAGGUCCCAUUUAUUAAUUGUUGAU